AGAACGAACGCUGGCGGCAGGCUUAACACAUGCAAGUCGAACGGUUGUAGCAAUACAGCAGUGGCAGACGGGUGAGUAACACGUGGGAACCAUCCUAGGGGUACGGAACAACUCAGGGAAACUUGAGCUAAUACCGUAUACGUCCGUGAGGAGAAAGAUUUAUCGCCCCUAGACGGGCCCGCGUAGGAUUAGGUAGUUGGUGAGGUAACGGCUCACCAGGCCUACGAUCCUUAGCUGAUCUGAGAGGAUGAUCAGCCACACUGGGACUGAGACACGGCCCAGACUCCUACGGGAGGCAGCAGUGGGGAAUCUUGGACAAUGGGCGCAAGCCUGAUCCAGCCAUGCGCGUGAGUGAAGAAGGCUUUCGGUGUAAAGCUCUUUUACCAGGGACGAUAAUGACGGUACCUGGAGAAUAAGCCCGGCAAACUUCGUGCCAGCAGCCGC
rnacentral:rRNA from 1 species